GACGAACGCUGGCGGCGUGCUUAACACAUGCAAGUCGAACGGAAAGGCCCUGCUUUUGUGGGGUGCUCGAGUGGCGAACGGGUGAGUAACACGUGAGUAACCUGCCCUUGACUUUGGGAUAACUUCAGGAAACUGGGGCUAAUACCGGAUAGCAUCUCCUGCUGCAUGGUGGGGGUUGGAAAUUUUCGGCGGUUGGGGAUGGACGCGCGGCUUAUCAGCUUGUUGGUGGGGUAGUGGCUUACCAAGGCUUUGACGGGUAGCCGGCCUGAGAGGGUGACCGGCCACAUUGGGACUGCGAUACGGCGCAGACUCCUACGGGAGGCAGCAGUGGGGAAUAUUGCACAAUGGGCGGAAGCCUGAUGCAGCAACGCCGCGUGCGGGAUGACGGCUUUCGGGUUGUAAAACGCUUUAGCCUGUGACGAAGCGUGAGUGACGGUAAUGGGUAAAGAAGCACCGGCUAACUACGUG
rnacentral:rRNA from 1 species